rnacentral:rRNA from 1 species
UUGGUUGUCGUCAGCUCGUGUCGUGAGAUGUUGGGUUAAGUCCCGCAACGAGCGCAACCCCUAUUGCUAGUUACCAUCAUUAAGUUGGGGACUCUAGCGAGACUGCCAGUGAUAAACUGGAGGAAGGUGGGGAUGACGUCAAAUCAUCAUGCCCCUUAUGACCUGGGCUACAAACGUGAUACAAUGGCUGGAACAAAGGGAUGCGAAGCAGUGAUGUGGAGCGAAACCCAUAAAAACAGUCUCAGUUCGGAUUGAAGUCUGCAACUCGACUUCAUGAAGUCGGAAUCGCUAGUAAUCGCGGAUCAGAACGCCGCGGUGAAUACGUUCUCGGGGUUU